rnacentral:rRNA from 1 species
AGCGAACGUUAGCGGCAGGCUUAACACAUGCAAGUCGAACGAGAACGGAAUCCUUCGGGGUUCUUAGUAAAGUGGCGCACGGGUGAGUAACACGUGGGUAAUCUACCCUCCGGCGGGGGACAACCACUGGAAACGGUGGCUAAUACCGCAUACGACCUGACUUUUUUCGGAUUGUUAGGAGAAAGGCUUCGGCCACCGGAGGACGAGCCCGCGUCCCAUCAGCUAGUUGGUGAGGUAAUGGCUCACCAAGGCAAAGACGGGUAGCUGGUCUGAGAGGAUGAUCAGCCACACUGGGACUGAGACACGGCCCAGACUCCUACGGGUGGCUG